rnacentral:lncRNA from 1 species
CUACAAGAAUUAGAUAAUCAAUUCAUGGAAUUUAUUGUAGACAAAUAUUCAAGAAGAGAUUCGAGAAGAGAGAGCAUAAUAUAUAUCAACGUAAUUAAUUUUAAACAUUGGCACACAACAGAUUUUAUUUAUUUAUUUUAUUUUUAGGAAAACGAGGUACAUGUAAAUAAACAAAUAAAAUCUCUUGAAUAUCCCAAGAGAUUUUAUAACAGUACCCAUCAUUUUAUUUAUUUAAACAUAAUAUAAAAAAAGUGACACUUCAUGCACUUAACCAGUGUGGUUGGAAUUUCUUCCAUAUUGAGGAGGAAUAAGAAGAUCAAGACUUUCAUUCACAAUCUCAUCAUCAACGAUACUGCCACAGGGUGGAAAUUGGAGACCCUCCAACCAAUCAUUCUUAC